rnacentral:lncRNA from 10 species
UACAACAAAGGCUACAUAUUUAAAUUAAAAAACACUAAAGCGUUUUUUGUUUACUAAUAUUUGUGGCUUUUCUACUAUGUACCGGGCACUUUUCAAGGCAUAGGGCACUAGUGAACGGAACAGAUAAAGUACCUGACUUGACAGAGCUUGCAUGCUACUUCCUGGAAGAUGGACAAGAAACAAGUAAGUUUCUAGAAAAUAAAGAGGGGGAAUGUAGAGUACCUCUGUGUCAGUGGAGUGUUACUCUGUGAAGGAGGGUAAGAAAAGGGGUCUCAAAUAAUGCAACGUAUUAAAGUCAUCUGAAAAGAAGCAAGCAAGAUGUGCGGGAGAGGGUCGUUUUAGGCAGAGGGGACAACAGAUGAAAAGUCCUCAGCUGGGAGAGAGCUUGAGAUUUGUAAGGACCUGCAUAGAAGGCGCGGCUCAGGCUGAAGUAGAGCAGGACGAUAACAAAGUGAAAGAGGAGAGGCGAGGAGAGGCGGGAAGGGGCGGAGCACGUGUUUCGGAUGGGCGCAUAGAAUGGAGACUUCCGGGCCAUGUCAGGCCUUUUGCUUUUACUGUGAGUGAAGCCAUAGGACGACCCUGCACAGAGCUGACGUGAUCCAAUAUGUGUUUUUUGCCCCCCGAGACGGAGUCUUGCUCUGUCUCCUAGGCUGGAGUGCAGUGGCACGGUCUUGGCUCCCUGCAACGUCCGCCUCCCGGGUUUAAGCAAUUCUCCUGCCUCAGCCUCCAGAGUAGCUGGGAUUACACGAUUACAGGUGCACGCCACCAUACCUGGCUAAUUUUUUUCUUUUCUUUUUCUUUCUUUCUUUCUUUUUUUUUUUUUUUUUUGUAUUUUUAGCAGAGAUGGAGUUUCACCACGUUGUCUAGGCUGGUCUCUAACUCCUGACCUCGUGAUCCACCUGCCUCGGCCUCCCAAAAUGCUGGGGUUACAGGCGUGAGCCACCGCGCCCAGCCCUGAUAUUCAUUUUAAAGGAAUCUCUGUGUGUAGUGUUGAUGGCAGACUUACAGGAACAGGGCAGAAGCACGGAGAGAUCAGUGAAGAGUUAAAUCCAGAACCGAGAUGCACCUGAGAGAAAUUACAUCACAUUAUUCAUCAAUGGGGGCACAUAUACAUGUGUAGAGUUGCUCUUCCGUAUCCAUGGGGGAUUGGUUCCAGGAUUCCUUCAGAUACCAGCAUGUACAGAUGCUCAAGUCCCUCAGAUUUGUCGAAGAUUAGAUAGCGAAGUCAUGGAACCAACCCAAAUGCCUAUCAACGACAGACUGGAUAAAGAAAAUGUGGUACAAAUACAUCACAGAAUACUAUGAGGCCAUAAAAAAGGAAUGGGAUCACAUCCUUUGCAGGUACAUAAAUAAUGCUGGAAGCCAUUGUCCUCAGCAAACUAACACAGGAACAGAAAACCAAACACUGCAUGCUCUCAUUCAUAAGUGGGAGCUGAACAAUGAGAACACAUGGAUACAGGGAGGGGAACACCACACACCAGGGCCUGUUGGGGGGUGAGGGAGGGCAGGGGGAGGGAAUUUAGAGGAUGGGUCAAUAGGUGCAGCAAACCACCAUGGCACACAUAUUCCUGUGUAACAAACCUGUACGUUCUGCACAUAUAUCCCAGAACUUAAAGUAAAAUAAAAAAAUAAAAUAAAAUAAAAAAUAAAACU